UGAACUGUCCUAAUCCCUGCUGGGCAGCCUAUGGCCUGCCGGGUUUCCCCGUGGACCACAGUGCCCUGGCAGCCACACCCGAGGAAUGGACAGGUGCUCACAGCAAGGCAGCUUCUCUGGACACAC
ensembl:snoRNA